rnacentral:rRNA from 1 species
UACGUAGGUGACAAGCGUUGUCCGGAUUUACUGGGCGUAAAGAGCGCGCAGGCGGUCGAUCAAGUCGAGUGUGAAAGCCCCCGGCUCAACUGGGGAGGGUCAUUCGAUACUGAUCGACUCGAAGGCAGGAGAGGGUAGUGGAAUUCCCGGUGUAGUGGUGAAAUGCGUAGAUAUCGUAAGGAAGACCAGUGGCGAAGGCGAGUCUCUGGACAGCAACUGACGCUGAGGCACGAAGGCCAGGGGAGCAAACGGG